rfam:Populus trichocarpa scaffold_13_contig_60, whole genome shotgun sequence.
UCUAGAACUUGAGAUAUAGGUUUAACACUGAAUAGUAUUCGGGCUACAGAACAGAUUCAGAUGUUUUUUUGUUGCUAAGAUUUGAACUUCAAAACAGCAGUAUUGAAUCUUAAACUCUUCAUCAAUAUUUUAGGCCUAUGUCAUAACUUUCCAUC